rnacentral:rRNA from 1 species
UAGGGAAUCUUCCACAAUGGACGCAAGUCUGAUGGAGCAACGCCGCGUGAGUGAAGAAGGUUUUCGGACCGUAAAGCUCUGUUGUUGGUGAAGAAGGAUAGAGGUAGUAACUGGCCUUUAUUUGACGGUAAUCAACCAGAAAGUCACGGCUAACUACGUGCCAGCAGCCGCGGUAAUACGUAGGUGGCAAGCGUUGUCCGGAUUUAUUGGGCGUAAAGCGAGCGCAGGCGGAAGAAUAAGUCUGAUGUGAAAGUCCUCGGCUUAACCGAGGAAUUGCAUCGGAAACUGUUU